rnacentral:tRNA from 1 species
GGCCCGUUGGUGAAGCGGUUAACACACAUGGUUUUCAUUCAUGGAUGCACGGGUUCGAACCCCGUACGGGUCACCA